AUUGAACGCUGGCGGCAUGCCUUACACAUGCAAGUCGAACGGCAGCACGGGAGCAAUCCUGGUGGCGAGUGGCGAACGGGUGAGUAAUAUAUCGGAACGUGCCCAGUCGUGGGGGAUAACGCAGCGAAAGCUGUGCUAAUACCGCAUACGAUCUAUGGAUGAAAGCGGGGGAUCGCAAGACCUCGCGCGAUUGGAGCGGCCGAUAUCAGAUUAGCUAGUUGGUGAGGUAAAGGCUCACCAAGGCGACGAUCUGUAGCUGGUCUGAGAGGACGACCAGCCAUACUGGAACUGAGACACGGUCCAGACUCCUACGGGAGGCAGCAGUGGGGAAUUUUGGACAAUGGGCGAAAGCCUGAUCCUGCAAUGCCGCGUGCAGGAUGAAGGCCUUCGGGUUGUAAACUGCUUUUGUACGGAACGAAACGGUGAGCUCUAAUACAGUUUGCUAAUGACGGUACCGUAAGAAUAAGCACCGGCUAACUACGUGCCAGCAGCCGCGGUAA
rnacentral:rRNA from 1 species